rnacentral:rRNA from 1 species
UCUUGACAUCCAGCGAAUUCGGUAGAGAUACCUUAGUGCCUUCGGGAACGCUGAGACAGGUGCUGCAUGGCUGUCGUCAGCUCGUGUUGUGAAAUGUCGGGUUAAGUCCCGNAACGAGCGCAACCCUUAUCCUUUGUUGCCAGCGGUCCGGCCGGGAACUCAAAGGAGACUGCCAGUGAUAAACUGGAGGAAGGUGGGGAUGACGUCAAGUCAUCAUGGCCCUUACGAGUAGGGCUACACACGUGCUACAAUGGCGCAUACAAAGAGAAGCGACCUCGCGAGAGCAAGCGGACCUCAUAAAGUGCGUCGUAGUCCGGAUUGGAGUCUGCAACUCGACUCCAUGAAGUCGGAAUCGCUAGUAAUUGUAGAUCAGAAUGCUACGGUGAAUACGUUCCCGGGCCUUGUACACACCGCCCGUCACACCAUGGGAGUGGGUUGCAAAAGAAGUAGGUAGUUUAACCUUCGGGAGGGCGCUUACCACUUUGUGAUUCAUGACUGGGGUGAAGUCGUAACAAGGUAAGCGUAGACGU